rnacentral:rRNA from 1 species
GAUGAACGCUAGCGGCAGGCCUAACACAUGCAAGUCGAGGGGUAGAACACUUCGGUGUUUGAGACCGGCGCACGGGUGCGUAACGCGUAUGCAAUCUACCUUGUACAGGGGAAUAGCCCAGAGAAAUUUGGAUUAAUGCCCCAUAGUAUAUAACCUUCGCAUGUUGGUUAUAUUAAAGUUCCAACGGUACAAGAUGAGCAUGCGUCCCAUUAGUUAGUUGGUAAGGUAACGGCUUACCAAGACGAUGAGGGGUAGGGGUCCUGAGAGGGAGAUCCCCCACACUGGUAAUGAGACACGGACCAGACUCCUACGGGAGGCAGCAGUGAGGAAUAUUGGUCAAUGGGCGCAAGCCUGAACCAGCCAUGCCGCGUGCAGGAAGACGGUCCUAUGGAUUGUAAACUGCCUUUAUACAGGAAGAAACCCUCCCACGUGUGGGAGAUUGACGGUACUGUAGGAAUAAGGAUCGGCUAACUCCGUGCCAGCCGCCGCCGUAA